UACACUUCUAUUUUGAAUGUUGAUAGAAAUCAAUAUUCAACACAGAAACAUUCUACAGGAUGAGUUUGUGGUUAACUUUAAUGAACAAUGUUCAAAACAAAGGUGAUAUUCUCCAUUCGUAAAAAUAAAAAAAUAUUCAGUAACUGAAUUGUGUACUAGCCUUUGUGAACCAUACAAUUUACUUAUACUUUUUUGAAAAAAUUGAAGCUCAGAGAUGACGAACGAUAUGUAAUAUAUGGUGAUUAAGUAAAUCAGCCAAAAAAGUCUGAAGAAACACAUCACAGUGUUAGUAAUAAAACACAUGAUUUCUUGUUUUUUAUGUUGCAAAUGCAUGAUUGGAAAACUACUAAAUUUAAUAUUAAUACCUCCUGGGAAUUUGAACUGAACUGACACAACAAGGGUUGUGAUUAAUAAUUGUGAAGUAUGUUAUGAUUAAUUAUUAAGGAACAAAUUAUUUGUCUUUUUUUUUUAAAUGUAAUACUACUUGUGUCUGCUCCUAUCAAAGGUCUAAGGAUAUUCCAUAGUAACAGAAGAUCGUAGUUAUUACAUGUAAAUCAAGAGGUACUAUAUAAUAUAUUUGUGUGUAAAUAAAUGAAAAAUAAAAACUCAAUAAUGAACGCACUAACGUCGCUGUGCAAUCGACGAAUUUAUUUUCUUCACAAUAUUUGGUGGCAAAAAAAAAUAGCGCAGUAUACAUUCACGUGAUAAAUUCAGUGUGAUCUACCUUAUUCGAAGAUAAUUUCGUAGCUAUUGAAAUUGUUCUUUAUCCUAACACAUUUCUACAAAAAUUCAAUAUGAUUGCAGUUCAACAAUCCUACUAAGGUUGAAAAUGUUUUUAAUAAAAUUGGACCGAUAAUGCAUCACGUAGAUCAUUUAGAAACCAGAAGGAUUGUAGAAUGCAUUAUAUCGAUGAGUUCGGUAACAAUUUUACUUGCAGAGUCGCGAACUGUGUAGUACGCAACGCCAUUGGAAGAUGUCUGUAAUUUUGUUUUUUUACAAGCGUUAUUCCUAAUUCGUGCGAUUAAAUAUUCCAAGUGUUCUAUGCAUUUCUAAACCAAUUUCAUAAUAUACAAAGCAUACUACGAAUAGGAAGGCAAAGGAAGGAUUGUUGAUGUUAAGUUGAGGUUAUGUUCGUGCGUAAUUCCGGAUUAGCGAUCUACGCGACAGGUGAUAAUUACAUUUCACGUUGAAACCUUAUGUUCGCAGUAUCUCGUAAUUAAUAAAAUGUGCUCAUGAAUAGUUUCAAACUGUUUGGUAAACAAAUGUGAAGUGCGUCAAGUGUAAAUAGUGAAACAUAAUCAUUUUUAUAGUAAAAGACAUCUUUAAGCCUAACAUAACCUAAUUACAUAUUCAAUGAAGGAUAAAUGAUACAGAAUUUUGCACCACUACUGUAAUGGAAACAAACAUCGGUACAGAAUUCAAACUAAAAAAUGGCUCAACUACAGAGCUCUCUUCAAACUGUCAAGAGUACGUUGAUGAAUAUCCAUCGCCAUAUAUCAAAGCAGAGUUGCCUUUCAUCAGCGAAGAACUUGCUCGCUCUGCAACAUUCUCCCGUUGCACACAAGCUGGACGUGUUAAAGAAUGUAUUCGCAUACAAGAUCAAAAAUCCACUACUCUUGGUACGAAGGAUGAUUUUGUAGAUACCGAAACAUCAUCAGAGAACAAUUUUGGCUCGAGAAAUGUAAGAUCGGGGAGCAUUUUUUCAUGGGAUUCUCUAAUGAAAUCGUGGCAAGAUUCUUCUACUCAGUGCGACAGGGAUAUCAUUCUCAAAGAGAAUCCAAUUGUAGAUGAUAAUUACAAAUAUACGGCUCGUUCUGAUCAAGAACAGUCAAGUACUUCUACAGAAAACAUCAUUUCUGGGCAAUCGAAUGAUUUUGUACAAAAUGACAAGGAAGAAGAGGAUAGGGCUCAAUGCGAACUGUGUAAAAAGUGGGUCAGAAAAAGUUAUCUAAUACGUCAUACGAGAGGCCACUACGCCAAGAGAACGCAUAAAUGUCCCCAACCAAAUUGCAAUAAGUCUUUUAUACAAAGAUCAAAACUCCUAGCUCAUACUCAAGUCCACAAUGGCACCAGACCCUAUCAAUGCAAUAUUUGUCAGAAAAAAUUCUCUCAGAGUUCUCACUUAACUGUUCACAUAAGCGUUCACACUGGUGAAAAACCUUAUGAAUGUAACAUUUGCAAUAGAAAGUUCACUCAGAAAUCGGCACUGACUGUACACUCGUUGAUCCAUACUGGUCAAAAAUCAUACGAGUGUAGUAUUUGUCAGAAAUUUUUUAGGCAAAAAUCACACUUGACCGUACACAUGAAAUUUCAUGCUGGUAUAAAGCCGUAUGCCUGCUCUAUUUGUAGUAAAUCAUUCACUCGUAAAUCAAGCUUGAAUCGACACGAAUUAACCCAUAGUAAAAUGAAGCCUCACAAGUGUCGUAUCUGUAAAAAAACAUUUAUUCAAAAAUCAAAUCUAAGUCGACAUGUACAAACCCAUAUGGAGCAGGGGGUGACAAAUGAAUUUGUCGAAUGCAUAUUGCCAGACAUCAAAACUGAUCAAUUAUACCAUUGCAAUGCAACUUUAUUGGUCAGAUUCUACAUCUUUUAGGAAUCAUGUACAUAAUAUUAGUGUCUAGAUACUGUGAAAAUAUGAUCAUUCUUAGAUCUGGAUGUAAUAGAAAUAUUUUACUUCCAUGGAAAAAAAUUUAAGGGGAGCCUCCAUUGAAAUUGCGAUGCCUGGCAUUUUUCAAUAGAACUAAAUGCGUAUCAGAAUACUUGUUUUCGGAUCUUAAAAAUUACGAACAACUAUCUCAAAAUCGAAAAUAUGUUUUUGAUAAUGCGUGUUUCAGUCUUUGAUAGACUCUAGACUAAACGCUCUUAUUUCUUCCGAGCAAGAUGUCGGACUGUCGCAUCAAUUUUUUUAGGAUUCCUAGCAUUCAUACGAAGAAUGCCUAGGAUUGCUUUCAUGUUUUUAGAAACCCAAAUUUGAAACAAGAAAUGAAAGCCCAUAUUUUAUGACUCAUAUUUUGCCUUUCUCUUGCAACCUUUGUGUUAGUCCCACAAACCAAGUAUUCGUAACUUCUUCAAAUUUCUCUUCGAAAAACGUACUUUAAAAAAAUUUUUUUCCAAAUUUCAGCUAUGUUUCGUAAAUUCAGCUAAGCUAACUUUCGGAAAUGGUAUUAUUCAAUUUCUAAUUAUUUGAGAAACAAUGCAGUGCUAUGUGGUUUUGAAUCUUAAUUUAUGUAUUGAAGGUGCGCAAUUCCUGGAGCUUCUGGUCAUAAAAAUUGCCAACAUUACCCAAGUUUCGUAGAAAAAGGUCAGGGAAUUCUGUAUUUUUAGACAGAAAAAGUCAAUGAAAAGUCGUAAAAUUUUAUUUGAGCAAGGUUGUCUCUACGUUUCAGAAAUCCUAAAGAUAAUCGAUGCGACAGCUCGACAUCUUGCUCGAAAGAAAUGAAAGUGCGAAGUCUGGAACCUGUGCAAGUUCAAAACACGCAUUACUGAAAACAUUUUUUCGGUUUUGAGAUCGUUGCUCGUGGUUUUUAAGGCCCAUGAACAAGUAGCCUGAUGCACAUUUAGUUAUUUUGAAAAAUGUAAAACUUAGCAAAUUCACCAGAGGUCCCCCUUAAAUGGCAUAACUGUUGAAAGAAUUGACAUAUCUUUAAAACAGUUUCAAUAAAAGUCGAUUAUUAUUCAACCAAGAUUAUUGAACAUGGUUGAAAAUUGCACAAAGUUCAACGAUACUCUCUGCUUGUGAAACUAUAUUUACACUAUUUGUAUUACCUCAAAAAAAGAAAAAAAAACAACACUCUUACUCCAAUCUCAGAAACGAAAAAAAUAAAAUGAACUAGCUCACAGGUGGGUAAAGGAAAAGGUUUUAGAGAAAAAAUUCUGGCAACAAAAUCUCACUAUUACUAAUAUUUUUUUCAUCGUUCCUUGUAUGUGUAAUAAAUCCAGCUUGUUUUGUUACACAAGUAUAUUACAUUAUUGAUAGAAUUUUAUCAAAAAAGAUUAGGAAUAGUUGAUAUUAUUCAUGUAAUCAAUGAACAAGAGUUGUCACCGCAUAGUGAAAUCAUGUCAUGAAUAUAUGUAUAAAAUAUACUUUUUUUGGAAAUUGUAAUUCUUAUAUACUUAAUCUACUUGCUAAUCAAUUGGUGAUGUUAUAUACCAUAAAGAUAUACAUGUAACGCAUUGUUCCGAGUAUACGCCGACCCCCAAUUCUGAAACAGUAUUUCAGGAUGUUUUUCUUGGUUAUCCGUACAUAAACGGGUCCACGUAUAAGACAAGGACGAUUUUGACAGGUGUUGUCAAUGACAAAAAACCUUGGGUUAUAUUCAGAACAAUACGGUAUGUUUAUGUGUAUAUAAGAAAUUUGAUGGGCAGUAUUUGAUAACAGUUUUAGUACCAAUUUAAUAAAUUCAAUUAUUAUUUUAUUAUUACACACAUUAAUAUACAUUUCGGAAUGUUAAUUAAUUAUAUGUUACCAGUGAAUAAUAUUGCACGAUUUUUCCUGCUGAACGUUUUUCAGUUAGAAUCAUCGUUGCCAGGAACAAAAAUUUAUAGUUGCUAUGGUUUAUUGUUAAUUGCAGAAUGAGGUCAAAACAAAUAUUGUAAAAUAAUAUACGUUCAAUUGUUUGGCGUACCUUUAAAAUUAUUUUUAGCCGACACUAAAUAUUCUCAAACGAAUUGAAUGAAAUUAAUGUUAUAUUCUUUAAUUAAAAUGGUGGCAUAACUAGUUAAGUUGAUUCAUUUGUAAAUCUAAAAUCAUAAGUGUUUAUUGCAAUGUCGUCGCCUUCAUUAAUUGAAUCGAGCCCCAAAAAUCUUGAAAAUUCAACGACGGAUAAUGAAAGCGAGCAAGUCAGUAUAGGUAGGUAUAAUAGUUCUAUACAACGUAUCUCAUAUACGAGGUAUAAAUUCUCAGCAGGAUCAAUACAGCAACGCAGUAUUCAUGAAAAUGAUUGCGACUCUACUAUUCAAUCGGAGAGAACGAUAGUCUCGCUGUUAUCAUCAAGUGUUGA
rnacentral:misc_RNA from 1 species